UAUGCUCUUGGGUGAAGGAAGGCUUGGU
rnacentral:piRNA from 1 species